CCUACGGGUGGCAGCAGUGAGGAAUAUUGGUCAAUGGACGAGAGUCUGAACCAGCCAAGUAGCGUGAAGGAUGACUGCCCUAUGGGUUGUAAACUUCUUUUAUAUGGGAAUAAAAUGUUCCACGUGUGGGAUUUUGUAUGUACCAUAUGAAUAAGGAUCGGCUAACUCCGUGCCAGCAGCCGCGGUAAUACGGGGGGUGCAAGCGUUGUCCGGAAUCAUUGGGCGUAAAGAGUUCGUAGGCGGCACGUAAAGGCUGGUGUUAGAGGCAGAGGCUCAACUUCUGUACGGCACUGGAUACUUGCGAGCUAGAAUGCGGUAGAGGUAAAGGGAAUUCCUGGUGUAGCGGUGAAAUGCUUAGAUAUCAGGAGGAACAUCGGUGGCGUAAGCGCUUUACUGGGCCGUAAUUGACGCUGAGGAACGAAAGCCAGGGUAGCAAAUGGGAUUAGAUACCCCUGUAGUC
rnacentral:rRNA from 1 species